rnacentral:rRNA from 1 species
CCUCAGUAACGGCGAGUGAAGCGGCAAGAGCUCAAAUUUGAAAGCUGGCUCCUUCGGGGUCCGCAUUGUAAUUUGCAGAGGAUGCUUCGGGCGCAGCCCCCGUCUAAGUGCCCUGGAAUGGGCCGUCGGAGAGGGUGAGAAUCCCGUCUGGGAUGGGGUGCCUGUGUCCGUGUGAAGCUCCUUCGACGAGUCGAGUUGUUUGGGAAUGCAGCUCUAAAUGGGUGGUAAAUUUCAUCUAAAGCUAAAUAUUGGCCGGAGACCGAUAGCGCACAAGUAGAGUGAUCGAAAGAUGAAAAGCACUUUGAAAAGAGAGUUAAACAGCACGUGAAAUUGUUGAAAGGGAAGCGCUUGCGACCAGACUCGCUCGCGGGGUUCAGCCGGCAUUCGUGCCGGUGUACUUCCCCGUGGGCGGGCCAGCGUCGGUUUGGGCGGCCGGUCAAAGGCCUCCGGAAUGUAGCCCCCCUCGGGGGGCCUUAUAGCCGGGGGUGCAAUGCGGCCAGCCUGGACCGAGGAACGCGCUUCGGCUCGGACGCUGGCAUAAUGGUCGUAAACGACCCGUCUUGAAACACGGACCAAGGAGUCUAACAUCUACGCGAGUGUUCGGGUGUCAAACCCGUACGCGCAGUGAAAGCGAACGGAGGU